GGUAUGGAUGGGUUAUGUCGGAGUUUUCGCUUCAUUGUAGUGGGUCCCUCUACCCGCAUUAGGAGUAGGUCUGGUUUCCCCAUCACUAAGACUAUCUCCUCCACCACCCAUGAGGUCUCAUCCAAUGAGGAUUAGACUUAGGUUAUCCUCUGGGGCUUAGUUAUGAUGUUCUUAUUUCUAUGUGUGCUCUCGGACUUAGUUUAUGUUUUCAGUUGUAUG
rnacentral:lncRNA from 1 species